CCCUCUGCAGAGGAUGCAAGUCCCAUUAGGUCAGGGACCCUGGUCUUUACUUGUGUGUCCUGGCCCCACACCGAUGCUCAAUUAAGCUUUUCUGAGUAAAUGGUAAAAUGGUGGAAUGAGGCUAUGAAACCAGGUGAUUUUUCUCCAAGCGCUUUUAACUAAAUCAGGAGGCAGUGUUGUGUUGUUCAGGGAUUAUCUCCAUGACCGCUGCUUUCUACUAUUACCCAAGCCUGAAUGAAGGCUCAGCCUCGCACACCUGUGAGGUCACUUAGCAGGCAUCUUACCGUAGUUACUUGGCUUCCUUAUCUCUCUCUUCCAAGGACAGAUUUUACUCUUGUAUUCCCCAAGUCACCUCUGCCUGCCUCACUGAGCCAUUGUUCUGACAACAGUAACAUCCCAACCCUUUCCUCUAUAAAAAGCACCAGCAAAGGCAGCAGUGGACCCAAGGGCCCAGGGAGGGGUUCCGGUAGGAUCCACUCCUGGAGAGGCUGUCCCCAUAUCAGUCUGAGCUUGGGUCAGCUUCCUUCCUGCUGUCCCACCUGUAGACACAGAGUGGAACCAAACCACAUGCCUUCCCACUUCUUCACCUCACAUCGCUUUGUAACUCUGUGGCUGCGAACUUCUCAACUGUCCUGUCAAGUUUCAUGAUAAAAUUGUACUUCUAGAAAGCAGAUCCGACCUGUGCUCUGGCUAAUUUCUUCUUUGGCUUUGUACAAAAGGUGCUAUGUUUCUGGCUUUCCUCAGGCCCCAAGAACUGUAUGUGUGCAUGUGUUUAAACAAGUUUAGAUCCCAUACAUUUCAUUCAUUUUAAGCACACAAUGAAAUGGACUUUAAAAAUUUCACCCAGUUGUGCAGCCAACACCACAAUCCAGUUUCAAAAUCAAUCCCAUCACCCCAGGAAGGUCCCUCAUACUCAUUUACAGUCAGUCCCCACCUUACCCUAUUCCAGGCAUCCACUAAUCUACUUUGUCUCUACCGAUUCACUUAUUUUGGACAUUUAAUAUCAACGGAAUCAUUCCACAAGUCUGACUUUUUCUACUUAGCAUAAUUCUUCUGAGUUUCAUCCAUGCUGAAGUGUGUACAAUAUUUUGUUCUUUUUUUAUACAGUAUCCCAGGUGUGUGGUUAUAAAUGGGAUUAAAUGAACAGUUCUGGUCAAUGGGUCCUAUGCAACUCUAGGUGUCUCCUGGAGAAGUCCUAGACCCUGGUCACAAGGCUCCCUCAGCUCUCUGAGGAACCUUUCUGCAAUUCUGUCUUGGUAGGAGGCCAAGUCUUUUGUAGUGGGCAUCAAGGUACCUUAAAGAUCCGAUGUCCUCAAAUCAAUGUCCUUUAGAGGUCCUGGGUCUCCUUAUUAGACUGAAAGCUCUUGGCAGGGAGAAACUGGGUUUUCAAUUGCUCCUGUCUUUUCUCAGUCUCCCAAGAGCAGUGCUGAGAAGAAAGCAAGUGUUUGAUAGAUGUGUGUGUGUGAAGCAGAGACACAGUGGAGGGACUGCAGAUAGUCCCUCCACUCCCUCUCCAUUCCUUCAGCCUCACUGCCUGGUGCCAGCUGUGCACUUUAGGGCUGCAGUACUGCACAGGUGUACAAGAAGAGGGUGGCUGUGCCACCUCCUCAGGGGCUGUGUGUCACGAGCCAUUCGUGGAUUGCAUGUGGGUCACUGAGCAUGGAAGCCUCGUGGAUAGAGACAUUUGGUGUCUGGGAAUAACCAAAGGACAUUUCCUCUGGUCAAUUGCCCAGGGAAAAUGUGAAUCUUUCCCGCUCUGCAGUGGCCCAGCCCACACAGCACCUAAGAUGGUAUGACCUGCAGAGAUGUCAAUCAACUUGCUGACUUCAAGACAUCAGGAAGCAAGACUCUGCCCUUGAAACCUUGUCCCUGCCUUUGAGAACAGAAGAUCUGGCAAUUGGGUUUCAUGUGUGGAAGGACAAGCACCCUCUAGCUCCGACUAGGUGAGCGUUCUUCACCCAUGCUCCUUCACACUGCCAGCCUGGCUCUGAGGCUCUUGAAACCAAGUCCCUUUAAAAUAUGAUGCCCAGCAAGGAUCAUUCCUGGAAUGCACAAAGGUUAAGUAAAGCAGGUGAAAGCCACGGAGAAAGAAGCAUGAAGUGCAGAAAGAGGAGACAUACAUUAAUGCAAUCCACUGACAUGCAAGCCACCGGCUGUCAAAGUCCCAGAAACAUCUCAGAGAAUCAGACAGCCUCCUGCAAAUGGUCAGUGUUCUUUGAAACUCUACCUCUUCAACAAGCAUAAAUGAACCACUUCUCUCCUCUCUCCAAGGAUCUAAGAAUGCCAGACUGGCUGGAGUUUGUGCUGAGAGAACUCUAUGAGGUUGCUAUGAGACAAAGGUCAAGACGAUGUCCUUUAGAUCACUCAGAAAAUUACGAGUGGAAAUGUGCACAUCCUUAAGGAUCAGAAGAAUACAACCCUUACACUUAAAAAAAAAAACUGUGGUUAACAGCUUGUUGAGUUUAAUGUAUAUACCAUAAAAUUCAAGAUUCAUGAUUUUAAUAUAUUUACAGAGUUGUGCAGUGAUCAUAACCUAAUUUUAAAACACAUGCAACACCCCAAAAUGAAACCUGGUGCUCAUACAGUCUCCCAUUCUCUUUCCCUCCAGCCCUAAGUAACCACCAAUCUAAGAUUUGCAUUCUCUGGGCAUUUCAUACAAAUGCCAUCUUAUAGCAUGUGUGCUUUUUGGGUCUAGUUUCUUUCAUGAGCAUAUUUUUGAGGUUUGUCCAGGUUGUAGCAUAUAUCAGGACUUCAUUUUAUUUUUCAAUUGAAGUGAAAUCCACACAAUAUUAAAUACAUUCACAAUGUUGGGCAAUCUUUAUUGCCAUCCAUUACCAGGACUAUCUUUAACUUAUAAAAUGGAGACAUUAUCAAUUAAAUAACUUCCCAUCUCCCUUUCUCCCAGCCCCUGGCAACCACCAGUUCUACUUUAUGUUUCUAUUGUCAAGUAGUGUCCCAUUGUAAGUCUAUAAAGCUUUUUUUUUUUUAAUAUCACCAACUGAUGAACAAUUGGACUGUGUCUUCUUUGACUGUUGUGAAUAAGGCUGCUAAGAGUAUUUUCAUAUGCAUUUUUUUUGUAUAGAUAUGUGGUUUUAUUUUUCCUGUGUAGUCACCUUGGAAUGGAAUUGUGGGUAUGAGUUUCCUGUUGCUGCUACAACAAAUUAUCACAAACUUAAUGGCUGAAAAUAAUGCAAAAUUAUCUUGGUUUUGGAGAUCAAAAGUCAAAAUGGGUCUUACAGAUUAAAAUCAAGGCAUUAGCAGAACUCUGUCCUUUCAUGAGACUUCAUGGGAGAGUACAUUCCUUGUCUUGUCCAUCUGCCAACAUUCCUUAGUUCAUGGCCACAUCAUUCCCAGCCUUGGCUUCUGUUGCCUUAUCUCUGCUUCCACCUCAGUUUGUUUAUAAGGAUCCAUGGGAUUACAGUGAUCUAGAAUAAUCUCCUUGUCUCAAAAAUCUUAAAUUAAUCAUAUCUGUGAUAUCCCCUUUUCCAUGUAAGAAAAAAUAUUCAUGGGAUCUGGGAAUUAGGAUGUGUACUUUUUGCAGGGGAACUGGG